GUCCACGCUGUAAACGAUGAUCACUAGAUGUCAGAUUCCCUUGAGGAGUUUGGUAUCGUAGCUAACGCGAUAAGUGAUCCGCCUGGGGAGUACGGUCGCAAGACUAAAACUCAAAGAAAUUGACGGGGGUCGCACAAGCGGUGGAACAUGUGGUUUAAUUCGACACUACGCGAGGAACCUUACCUGGGCUUGACAUAUAGUCGACCGGGGCGAGAGAUGUCCCUUUCUUGGGAAACCGAGACGAUUAAACAGGUGCUGCAUGGCUGUCGU
rnacentral:rRNA from 1 species